GCUGCUUUCACUCUCCCUCGGUGCAGUGCGACAUCUCUGCCUUGGCCUCCAGGUCUGGUCUGUGACUGGCUCCCAGGAAGCGCCUCCUGGCCUUGUGACCUGCAUUUCUCUGGAACUCAGCUGUAGCCCUUGCUUUUUAUCUCACUCACUUCUUUUCGUGGCUUUUUGCUUCAUUGUGGUGGAUGCCGAGGCUUCCGGCCCUCGCCCAUUCUGUUUGUCACAGCCCAGAAGUUUUAGUGUAAAGGCCAGCAGCGGCCGCACACCCUGCGUUUCAGUUUCUCAGCCUCUGCCGGGCUCUCCUCGCUGGCCGCAUCUCCCCCUGCAGAGCCACCCGUGCUAACAGGCCAGACUGGCGGCCGCGCCGACCACCUGGGAGAGACGUCCCACACCUGCGCCCUGGCAGGACAACGAAGCCAAAGAGGCGGUGGGCGUUCCAGUGGGUGCUCCGGCCACCCUCCUCCCCCUCCGGACUCCAUUCUUCCCAGGGCUGUGUCCUGGGCCUCACUUCCUGCCCUGAGCAGCCUGCCCCACCCCGGCCCGGCUCUCACGGCCCCUCUGCUCACGUCCAGGGCCUCGGACUGCCCAUGUGUGGGAGGGGUCGGCUCUAUCAGGUGGUUCUGACCUCGGUGAGCCCUGGGGCUGUGGGAUGUCACCCCUGGCCCCACAGGAGGCCAUCGGUUGGGGCCUGUUUUUCUCUCUUGGCUCCAAGUUUCAGGGCUUGCGUGCUUCUUUUUCACAAUGUUAAACUGAUCUUGGGGGGAAGCUGCAGACUCCCUGCUGUGCCCUCCUGAGAGAGUGGUGAACAGUCCCAAGUUUUAGAUUCCAUCCUUUUUCCCGAGAGUGGGGGAAAUCCACUAACUGCCCAGCGCUUCUUAUGGGGACCAGGGCCUGAGGAGGACUUGGCGCUGUUCUUGGGCCCGGGGCUGUGGGUGGCCAGCUGGCUGCAGCUGUGUGGGCCGGGAGGACCUCCCUGAACUCUGUGCUCCCUGGGGGUGCGCAGGCGCCCGGCCCCACCCCCACUUCAGUGAGCAGCCAAGUAUCGGGCAGUGCCCCUCAUCCUGGGGCAGAGAACACCGACGAGGGCCCCACCCCCAGGCAGAGGCAGUGGGCACUGUUUGGAGAGUCGCAGGGCCACAGGGCUGGCAGGAAGCGGGUGGAGGCCCUGCCCCAGCAUGACAAGUGUGUCUUCCACACACCCCCCACCACGCAGUCUCCCCUGGAGUGCCUGGCUGGAUCACUUGAUGCCCGCAGGAUGAGGAGUCAGCCCAGCUCCUGCCUCUGGUGAUGGGGACUUUCAGGUUGUUGGUGGUUCAGGUUUUUCUGUUUUAGCUCCUACCUCAUUAAAAAUUAUAAGAAUAAUUUAAAAGCCCUCUGGGUUUCUGUAGGUUGGUGGACAUUCUGUGCGGAAAACACCUGCCUGACCGUAAGCACUUCUGAGGAUGACCCAGCCCCACGAAGCAGCAUACAGUGUGCACCACUGGGUCCCUUCUGUCUCCUUAGGGAACAAAGAACCCCCGCAUUCACAAGGUGGCCCCAAAGCGUGACCCGCUCCAGAAAGCAGCACCCCCCCAGCGGGUGGGAGAGGCCCUGCCCCGUGUGUCCCGGCUGGCCCUGUGUGUCCUGGCUGGCCCCGUGCAGACGGGCAGACGGGCACUGCAGAUGGGCAGCCACCGCCUUUGCUGGACGAGUACUUCCCACGUCCACUUAGCUGGGCACAGGAGCUCACCUGUGCCCUCCAGUGGGGGCGUGGUGCGUAAGCAGUGCCCGGGGGCCACGGUGGGGGGCUCCUGGAUUUGCCUCCAGAGACAACAGGAUGGAAAUUUGGUUCCGAGAAUUUUAUGUACAUGUGGGUAGUUGAGGUUAAUUAGCUUCUACUAAAAUGCACAAACCAGGUGUCUACUUCUGGGUUCUGAUAACUUCAUGCACGGGGGCACCCACCACCCAGAGCAGGCCGGGCUGUUUCCCCACGAAGCUCCUUUCCCACCAGUUCCCCACCUGCUGCUGGACGGGCCCCAGGAGGAUUCUUCGCUUCCCUCGGUGGGUUUCUUCACUUCCCUCCCUGCAGGUGGGUUUCUGUUCCUGAUGUGGGGAUAGUGGUCUUCUCGCUGCUGAGAGGGCUUCGAAUGCACCACAGCUAGAUGGACAGACAUCAGUGAAACUGCCGCCAACAGACUUGGCCCUUGCAGCAUCCAUCCCCAGGAGGAACUUGCAGCCUCCACCCCGGCCCCCUGGGCCUUCUCCCAGUGCCUCCUGGAGGCCCCUGCCCGGCGCCCCUGCUCAUCCUGCCCUUGUCUACAGCUGCGUGAGCUGCAGAUGCAGGAGGACCCUGGGACGAAGCUCCCUGCCCUGCCCCCUUGCCCCCUCACGUGGCACCCUGGCCCAGCUCAUUCCCCUGCCUGCAGGGCCGGUGCUGUGAGCAGCUCUGGGGUCAUGGCUUGGUUUCUCCCUGGCAAACUGGUGCCUUCACAGCUGAUUUAUAUUUCAAACAUGGACGCCAUCUCCCUGGCCCCUCACACCGCGUUAGCGGCCCAGCCUGUAUUCCAUUAGCUGAUUAAGCCUUUUCUUGUCCUUCAUUUGUUAGAAAUAGAAGUUGGCUGAACCCCCCAAGCUUUCACCAAUAACAUCUUUUUUUGUCCUUUGUUUCCGUCUUCCUCUCGUUGACAAUAAAAGUCUUCUCUCCUUCUUCAGAGACACUGGCUGUCCUUCUGCCCCACCCAGCCCCCGGUCCCUGCCAGGGAAAGGUGCGCCCCCCGGAACCACCUGGGAAGGACACUGCGGGGCCUGUGAGCUUGUUCAGCUGCUGGCUCAGCUCAGCUGGAACCUCCAAAAUGAGGCUGAAGCUGCCUGGGGUAUGCUCCUGGUUUCCAUGGGUCUUCGGGGCCAUCAACCUACAGGUCGAUUUUGAGGGAAGAAGAGGGCAGCUGUGCCGGAUCCGCAAGAUUUCACGGAAUCAGAAAGUCCUUCCUGAACUCCGUUCAACAAGAAUCCAGACGCUCAAUUGGACCCAUGAGGUUUCAAAGUUGCCAAGGCUGUGAGCCCCAGGAGUUAGAGGGUGAGGGUCCUGCCCAGCUGGGAAGCCACGUGGCCCAACGGCCAGGACACAAGAUGCCAUGGGGCAAGCACUCUGCCUCUGUGGGCCCUCCCUCCACAAAACAUCAAAAAUCCUGUUUUACGUCUGUGUUG
rnacentral:lncRNA from 10 species